GGAGAUGUACUCAAGUUGGCUGAAGAGGCGCCCCUGCUAAGGGUGUAGGUCGGGAAACUGGCGCGAGAGUUCGAAUCUCUCCAUCUCCG
rnacentral:tRNA from 1 species